GCAGUCGUGGCCGAGUGGCUAAGGCGAUGGACUAUAAAUCCAUUGGGGUCUCCCCGCACAGGUUUGAAUCCUGUCGACUGCG
rnacentral:tRNA from 1 species